GGAUAUUGGCCUUCUUUUCUGUUCUCAUACUUAGCAGACAGCGCUUCCAUGAUUGAAUGGGGAGGUGAGGUAGUGAAUUCAGAACCAGAUGGUCAGCACACCUCAACUCAGAUGGGAAGUGGACAUUUUCCUGAAGAAGGGUUUGGGAAAGCAAGUUAUUUUAGGAAUAUUCAAGUAGUUGAUGAUUCCAAUAAUCUAAAGGCACCAAAAGGAAUUGGAACCUUCACUGAACAAUCUAAUUGCUAUGAUGUUCAAACUGGUAGUAAUGGAGAUUGGGGUCAUUAC
rnacentral:lncRNA from 1 species